rnacentral:rRNA from 1 species
AGAGUUUGAUCAUGGCUCAGGAUGAACGCUGGCGGCGUGCCUAAUACAUGCAAGUCGAGCGGAGAAUUUAGCAAUAGAUUCUUAGCGGCGAAACGGGUGAGUAACGCGUUGGUGACCUGCCUCGAAGUUUGGGAUAACAGUUCGAAAGGACUGCUAAUACCGGAUGUGAUCGCGGAGAUUAGAGGCUCUGUGAUUAAAGGAGAAAAUUCGCUUCGAGAGGGGCCUGCGUCCCAUCAGCUAGUUGGUAAGGUAAAGGCUUACCAAGGCGAUGACGGGUAGGGGACCUGAGAGGGUGGCCCCCCACAAUGGAACUGAAACACGGUCCAUACACCUACGGGUGGCAGCAGUAGGGAAUAUUGCAUAAUGGGCGAAAGCCUGAUGCAGCAACGCCGCGUGUGCGAUGAAGGCCUUCGGGUCGUAAAGCACUUUUGGAGGGGAUGAGGAAGGACAGUACCCUUCGAAUAAGCUUCGGCUAACUACGUG